rnacentral:tRNA from 1 species
GGGGCUGUGGCUAAGUGGUACAGCCUUUGCUCGGCAUGCAGAAGGUCCCAGGUUCCAUCCCAGUCAUCUCCA